rnacentral:rRNA from 1 species
GUGGGGAAUUUUGGACAAUGGGCGCAAGCCUGAUCCAGCAAUGCCGCGUGCAGGAAGAAGGCCUUCGGGUUGUAAACUGCUUUUGUACGGAACGAAAAGCUCUGGGCUAAUACCCCGGAGUCAUGACGGUACCGUAAGAAUAAGCACCGGCUAACUACGUGCCAGCAGCCGCGGUAAUACGUAGGGUGCAAGCGUUAAUCGGAAUUACUGGGCGUAAAGCGUGCGCAGGCGGUUUUGUAAGACAGGCGUGAAAUCCCCGGGCUCAACCUGGGAAUUGCGCUUGUGACUGCAAGGCUAGAGUGUGUCAGAGGGAGGUGGAAUUCCGCGUGUAGCAGUGAAAUGCGUAGAGAUGCGGAGGAACACCGAUGGCGAAGGCAGCCUCCUGGGAUAACACUGACGCUCAGGCACGAAAGCGUGGGGAGCAAACAGGAUUAGAUACCCUUGUAGUCC